CGUGUGUCUGUCGACUUUGUUCUAUCCUUCAUUUCCCUUCCCCUCUCUUUCCAGGACAUGUCCCGCACUUGUAGCAUCUCAAGUCCGCAGGAUAACCAUUGUAAGAAGACCUGUGCAGGAAGAGGCAGAAUCAAAUGAUUGAUCUCCCUCUGGUGGACAGAAGUUACAACUGCAAGCCAGCACUAUCUACCUGGCUGGAAUGCGGUCUGCUCAAAGAAAGCACUGUCGGCCAGCUGCUCCUUCAUCCUGCGCUCCUCCUCUUGGGGCCGAGAGUGUGACGGCUCCUGGGAGGCCGAGGGCAGCAGCGUGGCCAUCACCUCCUUGCGGCCCAGAGCCUUCCGCUGGCUCUGUUCAGACACCUGCAGUCGGAACUUAUCGAUCACGCCAUAGUGGCAGGCCCGCACGUCCCUGUGGCGGAUUACACUGGGUAGGAACAGACAGAUGGGGGUGAAGUCCAGCAGAAACAAAAAUGCGGUCAUAAAGUCGCAUCAGGAACAGGUAGAACCAGACCCAUUGCAUUACAGUCACUUAGCAUACGUGCUUAUCCAACUUUAAAAAGUGGAGCAAAUCAGUGUCAGUCUCUGGAAUACAAAAGUGCAAUAUCACCAAGCGGUCACUGAAGGUCCAUUUUAAAUAAGUUUAAAUUGAAUUGAAAGAAGAAAGAAAGGUCUGCUAAAGAAGGUCAGAGCAACCAUGGUGUAAUCUGAACCAGUGGAUCUUCAGCCUUUGUCAGAAGAUAGGUGGGGUUGCUGGAGGGCCAGAACAGACAGGAAACGUGACCUGGAGAGGCAUGCACGCGGAAGGGGAGGGGCCAGGCUAGAGGGCCCAGAGCUAGCAAAACAGAGCUCUGACUAUUGUGUUGCAUCUUACAAUCUUUUGAACAUAUAACAGAGUGCUCCCUUUAGCUGCUGGAUAGGUUGCCUCCAACAUCUUAAAUUUGACAGACAGCUGGAAUGUACAGAUGAAUAAACAAAGUGGGUGGGGCUAUCGAUGACCUCACACAUGAGAAAGUGUACCUUUACAAAUGGGAAAAGAAGAUCAAAACCUCACUUACAUGUCCACGCAGCACUGUGGCUUCACAGCUCCAGUGGCGUCUACUACGGCAUACUUGUUCGGCGCUGUACACAAAACUGGAAACACAGAAAUCGAUGCUUAAAUGGUGUACAGUAGUGUAAACCUUCCCAAAAGCUCCAAAAAGCGGUGGAGGCAUCAAACAGACUGGAAGGACUGCGUGCCACAAGAGUGCCGAGAUCUCCCUCACCUUUGAACUUGAGGGCAAAUUCGUAGGGAUUGUAGAGCGUGAGCACCUGCUUGUGGGACGUCUGCUCAUCGGCGUAGAAGACCAGCUCAGUGGGGAACACAAACACAGGAAGACUUCCCUCCACCAGCUCAGGCUGCCGGUUAUGAUGCUGCAUUGGCACGCGCUGCACUCAGUCCAACCCAGCUCUCGCUCCAGUCUGUCCGUCCCCACCAGUCUCGGUGCCCUUUGUGGCUGUGUAACCUCCCUCCAGGCGCCAAUUGGCCUCUCCUCUCAGCUUAUCAACAGCAUCACAAACACCCUGGGAAACAAAAGACCAUCUUUAUUGUAACUAUAUGAAACGUCAUUAUUUUUAUAUAUAUAUUAUAUAUAUAUAUGUAUAUAAACACACGCACAUGUAGAAUAAAACAUGGUUUUCCUGGACAAACUACAACUUUUUAAACACUGAAAAUGACCACCAUUUUUAAAAACUGCUAUAAUAAAUACGAGUUAAGAAAGACUGAUUCAUGAAAACCAAUCAAUAAUCAAUAAAAGUUCAGUAUGUGUAAAACAACGCUUACAUACGUAUACUGUGAUUUCACCUUUGCCGUGAUUUCCUCUUUUAAAUAAUAUUCCGCGUACUAGAUUCCUCUUCCACGUGGCUAAUCACAUGAGCAUGUUUACAGGCUCAAACGUCAUUCUUGGCUAAAGUCUUUUGCAAUAGCUGCGUGCCAGAGCGUCUCUGCCUGUGUUGAGUCAAAUAUGGUUGGGUUUAUCCCGUGGGAUAAACAUGGACCAUCUCUUUAUUAUUAUUAUAAGAGGUCUCUGCAUUAAUCACUUGAGCACAAUGGAUGUUUAGCUUCCAAGCUUUGUAGCCAACGUCAUUAGCUUGGAAAUCUAACGUCAUUAACCAGCCAUCGAUGUUUAAAUUCUAUCAUACCUGUCCUGGCCUGAUAGGGCUAAAAUCAGCUUGUCACAUGUUUAACGUUAGCUGUCGAGCAAACCUUAAAUUGCAAUACCAUCUGGCUUGCUAAAGCUUGUUUAAUUAUGCUGUUUGCACACAAUAAGCACAGUUAACGUUAGCUGCUAAGAUGUAAACUUUACACCGUGGACACUAUCAAGUAGGCAAACUACCAAAUAAGCGAAUACAAAGGCUAAACAGCUAGCUAGCUAUGUAACGUUAUUAUGUUAAAACGAAACCUACUGUAUAUCUAGCUUAUUAUGUGACGUUCCUGUGUGUGACAUCUUAAUUACCUAAGUAGCUAACAUGGGUCACACUGACAGGAAUAUCAGAAUAGUUAACAUUACAGGAGCAAACCCCUCAUCUGGGAAAACUAAUAAGCUAUUUGGGAGCAAUGGACAAUUAGCUACAGCAAUUACUAUGCAGAUGUCAAUUUGCUAACUUAGCUACAUAUAAGCUAGCUAGCUGCUGGCAACCUCAGAUACCGACCGAGUUGACUACAAUCUAAGAUAGCUGGGUACAAUUAUGAUAUUUACCAAACUGUAUGCCUUUAUUUAACAACGGUAGAAAGACAAAGGAAAUUAACUAUUCAACAGAACAGCUAGCUAACUAACAUUACCUACCGUGACAACAAAGACCAUUUUCAUUGGAGAGCUAGCCAGACAGAGCUAGCGAACGUUAUCUUUUUAUUGUGCUAUUUAGCUGUUAAAUAUUACUUCUAAACUAGCUACCAGCUAAAUGGGAAGUUCCACACGGUGGAUGCCGGGAUAGUGGAGGGCUCAAAGAAUUCCUCCAGUCGUUUUCUGACGUAACUCUAACUAUACCGCAAAAUGUGAAUACUUUGUUGCGAUUUAAACUCUCGUAAUAUCACAU